rnacentral:lncRNA from 1 species
CUCAAAGGAGAAGGCUUUAGCCUCUGGGGACAGAAGUGUCAGGCAGCUGCUUAAGGCUCAAACCAUUCAUAGUUUGUGUAACUUCCUAUUACCUAAGUAUAUGAGAAAUCAAAUUUGAUGGAUGCCUUACAGGUGACAUUUACCCCAGAUUAUUUUCCCAACUUCCUCUGAAUUCUAAAACCACCCCCACUCCCAUUAUUGGUUCAUUCUGGAACUCCCCUCAGCUUCUGGGGUCUCCUCCCCCUGGAAUAGCUUACCAUCCCUCAAGACCUCUCACCAUGGAAUGAAUAUCUCUCCAUAAAGCCUAUUUUCGCCUUUCCCAUCAGUGAGUUCCUCUUGGAGCCUACAUUUUGUAGAAGGGCCCAGACUAGCAUCCCUCCAUUCUCUUCCCAGUCCUGUUCUUUACAUCCUUUGGAUUUCAAAGCCAGACCUUCUACCAGGAAAAAUCUAAUCCUUCUGCCAUAUGGCAGUGCCCACAACAUGGCAGAAUUUAAGCAAAAGGAAAAAUCAAGUCAAGCAAUAAUUAUGAAGAAACUGAGGCUCCUUGAGGUAAAAUGACUUGCCUAAGGUCACAUGAGUAGUAAAUGGCAGAUCCAUGAUUUGAACACAAGUGCUCUGAUUCCUGAAGCAUUCAUUUUUCCAUUAUUCCACAUUUCCUUGGAAGAGAGGUACACAUAUGUAAGGAAUAAGUCAUGAGUCUUAGUAAAU